GUGGGUAUAGCUCAAGUGGUAGAGUGCAUGCUUAGCUUACACAAGGUCCUGGGUUCAAUCCCCAGUACCUCCU
rfam:Camelus ferus unplaced genomic scaffold scaffold993, whole genome shotgun sequence.